rnacentral:rRNA from 1 species
UACAGGAGGUCUCAAGCGUUGUUCGGAUUCAUUGGGCGUAAAGGGUGUGUAGGUGGCGCCGUAAGUGGGGUGUGAAAUCUCGGGGCUUAACUCCGAAACUGCAUUCCAUACUGCGGUGCUUGAGGACUGGAGAGGAGACUGGAAUUCAUGGUGUAGCAGUGAAAUGCGUAGAGAUCAUGAGGAACACCAGUGGCGAAGGCGGCGAUCUGGGUCGAUACUGACGCUGAGGUGCGAAAGCGUGGGGAGCAAACAGG